rnacentral:rRNA from 1 species
GAUGAACGCUGGCGGUGUGCCUAAUACAUGCAAGUCGAGCGAACAGACGAGGAGCUUGCUACUCUGACGUUAGCGGCGGACGUGUGAGUAACACGUGGAUAACCUACCUAUAAGACUGGAAUAACUUCGGGAAACCGGAGCUAAUACUGGAUAAUAUAUUGAACCGCAUGGUUCAAUAGUGAAAGACGGUUUUGCUGUCACUUAUAGAUGGAUCCGCGCCGCAGUAGCUAGUUGGUAAGGUAACGGCUUACCAAGGCAACGAUGCGUAGCCGACCUGUGAGGGGGAUGGGGCACUCUGGAAGUGAGACACGAUACAGGCUCCUAGGGGAGGCAGAAGCAGGGAAGCGUCCGAAAUGGGCGGAAUACUGAAGGAGCGACGGCGCGCGGGUGCAGAAGGGCUGCGUACCGUAUAACUGUGUUAUGAGGGAAGAACAAAUGUGUAAGUAACGAUGCACGUCGUGACGGUACCUAAACAGAAAGCCACGGCUAACUACGUG